CUAAUAUAUCCGUUUUGUAUGUGGCCUUGCGGGGAUUACUCAGCAAGAACGGUCUGGUUUAGUUGAAGUAAUUGUUACGCGGUCACUAUUUAACA